rnacentral:miRNA from 10 species
UGCAUAUGUAUCUGUGUGCAUGUGCAUGUGUGUAUGUUAAUGUAACAUUAAACCUCAUUAAAGAUAUGCAGGCAU